rnacentral:rRNA from 1 species
UACGAAGGGGGCUAGCGUUGCUCGGAUUUACUGGGCGUAAAGGGCGCGUAGGCGGACAGUUUGGUCAGAGGUGAAAGCCCAGGGCUCAACCUUGGAAUUGCCUUUGAUACUGGCUGUCUUGAGUACGGGAGAGGUGAGUGGAACUCCGAGUGUAGAGGUGAAAUUCGUAGAUAUUCGGAAGAACACCAGUGGCGAAGGCGACUCACUGGCCCGUUACUGACGCUGAGGCGCGAAAGCGUGGGGAGCAAACGGG